rnacentral:piRNA from 1 species
CCAGAGGGCGAAGGAACCGAAAGCA